rnacentral:rRNA from 1 species
CUUGGUGUCUAUGGCGCGGUGGAACCACACUGAUCCCUUCCCGAACUCAGAGGUGAAACGCUGCUGCGGCGACGAUAGUUUGGGGGUAGCCCUGCGU